GUCUGUGUGGUGUAGUGGUUUGAGCGUUGGACUAUGACUCUGGAGACUAGGGUUUGAAUCCCAGCUCUUUCA
rnacentral:tRNA from 1 species